AGGCUACCGCUAUUGGAGUUCGAUUAAGCCAUGCGAGUCGAGAGUCUUAGGGACUCGGCGUACCGCUCAGUAACACGUGGGUAACCUGCCCUAUGCUGGGGAAUAACCUCGGGAAACUGAGAAUAAUACCCCAUAGUUCACUACGCCUGGAACGGUGAGUGGAUGAAAGCCCCGGCGGCAUAGGAUGGGCCUGCGGCGUAUCAGGUCGUAGGGGGUGUAACGUACCCUCUAGCCAUCGACGCGUACGGGUGUUGGGAGACAUAGCCCGGAGAUGGAUUCUGAGACACGAAUCCAGACCCUACGGGGUGCAGCAGGCGCGAAAACUUGGCAAUGCGAGAAAUCGUGACCAGGGAACUCCAAGUGGCUGGGGUAAGACCCAGUCUUUUCUUGACUCUUCAAAGGUCUUGGAAUAAGAGGUGGGUAAGGACGGUGCCAGCCGCCGCGGUAAUACCGGCGCCUCAAGUGGUAGUCGAUUUUAUUGGGCCUAAAACGUCCGUAGCCUGUUUGGUACAUUCGUGGGUAAAUCAACCAGCUCAACUGGUUGAAUUCUGCGAGCACGGCCAGACUUGGGACCGGGAGAGGUGUGGGGUACGCUCAGGGUAGGGGUAAAAUCCUGUCAUCCUGAGCGGACCACCUGUUGCGAAGGCGCCACACUAGAACGGAUCCGACGGUCAGGGACGAAGCCUAGGGGCACGAACCGGAUUAGAUACCCGGGUAGUCCUAGGUGUAAACGCUGUGGACUUGGUGUUGGGGAUGAUCCGAUCAUUCUCAGUGCCGAAGCGAAGGUGAUAAGUCCACUGCCUGGGGAGUACGGUCGCAAGGCUGAAACUUAAAGGAAUUGGCGGGGGAGCACCGCAACCUGAGGAUUGUGCGGUUU
rnacentral:rRNA from 1 species